rnacentral:rRNA from 1 species
UCGGGAACUGUAAGACAGGUGCUCCAUGGCGGUCUUCAGCUCGUGUUGUGAAAUGUUGGGUUAAGUCCCGCAACGAGCGCAACCUUUUUCCUUUUUUCCCAGCGGUUAGGCCGGGAACUCAAAGGAGACUGCCAGUGAUAAACUGGAGGAAGGUGGGGAUGACGUCAAGUCAUCAUGGCCCUUACGACCAGGGCUACACACGUGCUACAAUGGCAGAUACAAAGAGAAGCGACCUCGCGAGAGCAAGCGGACCUCAUAAAGUAUGUCGUAGUCCGGAUUGGAGUCUGCAACUCGACUCCAUGAAGUCGGAAUCGCUAGUAAUCGUAGAUCAGAAUGCUACGGUGAAUACGUUCCCGGGCCUUGUACACACCGCCCGUCACACCAUGGGAGUGGGUUGCAA